rnacentral:rRNA from 1 species
UACGUAGGGAGCGAGCGUUGUCCGGAUUUACUGGGUGUAAAGGGUGCGUAGGCGGCUUGACAAGUCAGAAGUGAAAUCCAUGGGCCUAACCCAUGAACUGCUUUUGAAACUGCCGAGCUUGAGUGAAGUAGAGGUAGGCGGAAUUCCCGGUGUAGCGGUGAAAUGCGUAGAGAUCGGGAGGAACACCAGUGGCGAAGGCGGCCUACUGGGCUUUAACUGACGCUGAAGCACGAAAGCGUGGGUAGCAA